UUUAAUAGCUGCUUGGCAACCUAGAUACCUUAAUUUGGAAUCUCUCAGUAUAGGGAUUCUCCACUGAAACACUUUCUCUCUAUUAAAGACACAAACGGCGAUUUUUAUUUUGUUUUUCCGAUGGCCGGUUUCUUCUCCAACGCCGUGAAAAUGCCCCAUUUUCUUUCUUUUUUUCUUUUCUGCUUGUAUGUUACCCUUAAGCUUCUUACAUGGCAUCUCCCCUCUCUUUUGGUUUCCAGUGGUAUAGAUCUAAGUCGUCUAUGUUGUUGUGGUGGUCGGCGGCAUGUAGAUCUUAGGGUUUUCGGGCUAUGUGGUCUAGAUCUCUGAGGACUGAGUCUGGAUCCCUGUACUC
rnacentral:lncRNA from 1 species